UAAUACGGAGGGUGCAAGCGUUAUCCGGAUUUACUGGGUUUAAAGGGUGCGCAGGCGGAUAUGUAAGUCAGUGGUGAAAUCUCCGGGCUUAACCCGGAAACUGCCGUUGAUACUAUAUAUCUUGAAUGCUGUGGAGGUAAGCAGAAUAUGUCAUGUAGCGGUGAAAUGCUUAGAGAUGACAUAGAAUACCUAUUGCGAAGGCAGCUUACUACGCAGAUAUUGACGCUCAUGCACGAAAGCGUGGGGAUCAAACAGG
rnacentral:rRNA from 1 species